GACGUAGGGCGCGAGCGUUGUCCGGAAUUAUUGGGCGUAAAGCGCACGUAGGCGGCUUUGCAAGUCCCAUGUGAAAUCCCACGGCUUAACCGUGGAAGUGCAUGGGAAACUGCAGAGCUUGAGUACUUAAGAGGAUCGCGGAAUUCCCGGUGUAGAGGUGAAAUUCGUAGAUAUCGGGAGGAACACCAGUGGCGAAGGCGGCGAUCUGGGAAGAUACUGACGCUGAGGUGCGAAAGCGUGGGGAGCAAACAGG
rnacentral:rRNA from 1 species